rnacentral:rRNA from 1 species
AAUUCGUAGAUAUUCAGAGGAACACCAGUGGCGAAGGCGGCUUACUGGCUCGAUACUGACGAUGAGGUGCGAAAGUGUGGGGAGCAAACAGGAUUAGAUACCCUGGUAGUCCACACCGUAAACGAUGAAUGCCAGACGUCAGCAAGUAUACUUGAUGGUGUCACACCURACGGAUUAAGCAUUCCGMCUGAGGAGUACGGUCGCAAGAUUAAAACUCAAAGGAAUUGACGGGGGCCCGCACAAGCGGUGGAGCAUGUGGUAUAAUUCGAAGCAACG